GACGAACGCUGGCGGCGUGCUUAACACAUGCAAGUCGAACGGAAAGGCCCUGCUUUUGUGGGGUGCUCGAGUGGCGAACGGGUGAGUAACACGUGAGUAACCUGCCCUUGACUUUGGGGUAACUUCAGGAAACUGGGGCUAAUACCGGAUAGGAGCUCCUGCUGCAUGGUGGGGGUUGGAAAGUUUCGGCGGUUGGGGAUGGACUCGCGGCUUAUCAGCUUGUUGGUGGGGUAGUGGCUUACCAAGGCUUUGACGGGUAGCCGGCCUGAGAGGGUGACCGGCCACAUUGGGACUGAGAUACGGCCCAGACUCCUACGGGAGGCAGCAGUGGGGAAUAUUGCACAAUGGGCGGAAGCCUGAUGCAGCAGCGCCGCGUGCGGGAUGACGGCCUUCGGGUUGUAAACCGCUUUCGCCUGUGACGAAGCGUGAGUGACGGUAAUGGGUAAAGAAGCACCGGCUAACUACGUG
rnacentral:rRNA from 1 species